rnacentral:rRNA from 1 species
AUUGAACGCUGGCGGCAGGCCUAACACAUGCAAGUCGAGCGGAGCGGCGGACGGGUGAGUAAUGCCUAGGUAUCUGCCUGGUCGUGGGGGAUAACGUCCGGAAACGGGCGCUAAUACCGCAUACUAUCAGAUGAGCCUAGGUCGGAUUAGCUAGUGGGUGGGGUAAAGGCCUACCAAGGAGACGAUCCGUAACUAGUCUGAGAGGAAGAUCAGUCACACUGGAACUGAACCACGGGCCAGGCUCCUAGGCGAGUCAGCGGUGGGGAAUAAUGAACAAUGGUCUAAAGCCUGAUCCAGCCAUGCCGCGCGUGUGAAGAAGGUCUUCGGGUAGGAAGACACUUUAAGUUGGGAGGCGUUACCAGCAUAAUAAGGACCGGCUAACUUCGUGCCAGCAGCAGCGGUAAUUC